ensembl:misc_RNA 7SK 7SK RNA
GGAUGUGAGGGCGAUCUGGCCGAUCUGGCCAGCCAGGCAGGGGUUCCCUCCCUCCUGCGCUGCUACAGAAGCUGCAUGCUUGGUCGAAGAGGAUGACCACCCUGAUGGGGGAGACCGUGUCCUCUGUCAGGGAAUCUGAGUAGCUGCACUCCCCUGCUAGAACCAAACAAGCUCUCAAGGAAAGUGAGCCACAGCACUCACCAGAGGCAGAGCUGGGAUUUGAACCCCGGCCUCCUGGCUCUACACCCAUAGAUCUUACAACCUGACUGACUUUCUUU